rnacentral:misc_RNA from 1 species
AAGACUAUAGACCUGCGGAGUACCUGCGGAGGGAUCAUUACCGAGUUUACAACUCCCAAACCCAAUGUGGACGUUACCAAACUGUUGCCUCGGCGGGAUCUCUGCCCCGGGUGCGUCGCAGCCCCGGACCAAGGCGCCCGCCGGAGGACCAACCAAAACUCUUUUGUAUACCCCCUCGCGGGUUUUUUUAUAUCUGAGCCAUCUCGGCGCCUCUCGUAGGCGUUUCGAAAAUGAAUCAAA